rnacentral:rRNA from 1 species
AACGAACGCUGGCGGCGUGUUUAAGACAUGCAAGUCGCACGGGACUAUUUGAGUAGCAAUACAAGAAUAGUCUAGUGGCGCACGGGUGAGUAACACGUGAAUUACAUGCCCUGCAGAGGGGGAUAGCCCAGGGAAACUUGGAUUAAUACCCCAUGGUAUCGCGAGAUUAAAGGUGGCCGCAAGGCUGUCGCUGCAGGAUUGGUUCGCGCCCUAUCAGCUUGUUGGUGAGGUAACGGCUCACCAAGGCUACGACGGGUACCUGGUCUGAGAGGACGAUCAGGCACACUGGAACUGAGACACGGUCCAGACACCUACGGGUGGCAGCAGUCGAGAAUAAUUCACAAUGGGGGCAACCCUGAUGGUGCAACGCCGCGUGGAGGAUGAAGGUCUUCGGAUUGUAAACUCCUGUCAUCCGGGAGUAAGACCUGGCGAUGAAUAGUCGACAGGGUUGAUAGUACCGGAAGAGGAAGGGACGGCUAACUUCGUGCCAGCCGCCGCCGUAA